GGGAAUAUUGGGCAAUGGGCGCAAGCCUGACCCAGCAACGCCGCGUGAAGGAAGAAGGCUUUCGGGUUGUAAACUUCUUUUCUCAGGGACGAAGCAAGUGACGGUACCUGAGGAAUAAGCAUCGGCUAACUCCGUGCCAGCAGCCGCGGUAAUACGGGGGAUGCAAGCGUUAUCCGGAUUUAUUGGGUUUAAAGGGUGCGUAGGCUGUGAGGUAAGUCAGCGGUGAAAUGCCCCCGCUCAACGGGGUGAAGUGCCAUUGAUACUGCCUUGCUGGAAUGCGGAUGCCGUGGGAGGAAUGUGUGGUGUAGCAGUGAAAUGCAUAGAUAUCACACAGAACACCGAUUGCGAAGGCAUCUCACGAAUCCGCGAUUGACGCUGAUGCACGAAAGCGUGGGUAUCAAACAGG
rnacentral:rRNA from 1 species